AGCGGCGGAUGGGUGAGUAACACGUGGGGAACCUGCCCCUAAGUCUGGGAUACCAUUUGGAAACAGGUGCUAAUACCGGAUAAUAAAGCAGAUCGCAUGAUCAGCUUUUGAAAGGCGGCGUAAGCUGUCGCUAAGGGAUGGCCCCGCGGUGCAUUAGCUAGUUGGUAAGGUAACGGCUUACCAAGGCGACGAUGCAUAGCCGAGUUGAGAGACUGAUCGGCCACAUUGGGACUGAGACACGGCCCAAACUCCUACGGGAGGCAGCAGUAGGGAAUCUUCCACAAUGGACGCAAGUCUGAUGGAGCAACGCCGCGUGAGUGAAGAAGGUUUUCGGAUCGUAAAGCUCUGUUGUUGGUGAAGAAGGAUAGAGGUAGUAACUGGCCUUUAUUUGACGGUAAUCAACCAGAAAGUCACGGCUAACUACGUGCCAGCAGCCGCGGUAAUACGUAGGUGGCUAGCGUUGUCCGGAUUUAUUGGGCGUAAAGCGAGCGCAGGCGGAAAAAUAAGUCUAAUGUGAAAGCCCUCGGCUUAACCGAGGAACUGCAUCGGAAACUGUUUUUCUUGAGUGCAGAAGAGGAGAGUGGAACUCCAUGUGUAGCGGUGGAAUGCGUAGAUAUAUGGAAGAACACCAGUGGCGAAAGCGGCUCUCUGGUCUGCAACUGACGCUGAGGCUCGAAAGCAUGGGUAGCGAACAGGAUUAGAUACCCUGGUAGUCCAUGCCGUAAACGUUGAGUGCUAAGUGU
rnacentral:rRNA from 1 species